rnacentral:rRNA from 1 species
UACGUAGGGUGCGAGCGUUAAUCGGAAUUACUGGGCGUAAAGAGCGCGCAGGCGGUCGUUCAAGUCGCGUGUGAAAGCCCCCGGCUCAACUGGGGAGGGUCACGCGAUACUGAUCGACUCGAAGGCAGGAGAGGGUAGUGGAAUUCCCGGUGUAGUGGUGAAAUGCGUAGAUAUCGGGAGGAACACCAGUGGCGAAGGCGACUACCUGGCCUGUUCUUGACGCUGAGGCGCGAAAGCUAGGGGAGCAAACAGG